AUUGAACGCUGGCGGCAUGCCUUACACAUGCAAGUCGAACGGCAGCGGACCUUCGGGUGCCGGCGAGUGGCGAACGGGUGAGUAAUAUAUCGGAACGUACCUUUCAGUGGGGGAUAACGUAGCGAAAGUUACGCUAAUACCGCAUAUUCUGUGAGCAGGAAAGCAGGGGGAUCGCAAGACCUUGCGCUGAUUGAGCGGCCGAUAUCAGAUUAGCUAGUUGGUGAGGUAAAGGCUCACCAAGGCGACGAUCUGUAGCGGGUCUGAGAGGAUGAUCCGCCACACUGGAACUGAGACACGGUCCAGACUCCUACGGGAGGCAGCAGUGGGGAAUUUUGGACAAUGGGCGCAAGCCUGAUCCAGCCAUGCCGCGUGAGUGAAGAAGGCCUCGGUUGUAA
rnacentral:rRNA from 1 species